GAGCCCAAAAUGGAGGGAGUGGAAUUGCGGUGCGGUGGGUGCUCUAAGCCUCCAACUGUAAAACCCUUUCCCUCCUCCACACAAAACCCUAACUCCCUAUCCGCAAAGAUGAAGGGGAAAAAGACCAUGACGCGAGACGACGACGAGGAUGCUCCGUUUUCAUCUGAGAUGAUUCCUUCACCAACAGUAUCCGAUUCCGACUCUGAUUAUGAGGACUCUUCUGAAGAUGACGGCGACUCUUCGGACUCGCUGGAUUCUCAAUCUGAAUCGGAAUUAGAAGAUGGUUCCCCUGGUAACGAUCACUCUGGCGAGGUAGAACCUGCAGAAGCUGUAUCAUCUCAAGAUGAGGACAUUGUUGAUACCGAUGAAGAAGUUGGUGGAAGUGAAAUCUCCGAUCUCCAUCAGGAAGGAGCUGAGAGUGAUUCGUCCGAGGAUGAGGUGGCUCCCCGAAACACUGUUGGAGAUGUCCCUUUGAAGUGGUACGAAGACGAACCUCAUAUUGGAUACGACAUCAAGGGCAAGAAGAUUAAGAAAAAAGAAAAGCGUGACAAGUUGGAUUCAUUUCUGGCUAAUGUUGAUGAUUCUAAGAAUUGGCGGAAGGUCUAUGAUGAGUACAAUGAUGAGGAAGUGGAGCUGACAAAAGAUGAAAUCAAAAUAGUUCGUAGACUUCUCAAGAAUCGGGCUCCACAUACUGACUUUGAUCCAUAUCCGGAUUACGUUGACUGGUUUAAAUGGGAUGAUGCCAAGCAUCCAUUGUCUAAUGCACCUGAGCCAAAAAGGAGGUUUAUUCCUUCAAAAUGGGAAGCUAAAAAGGUUGUACAGUAUGUUAGAGCAAUCCGCAAGGGAUUAAUAACUUUUGACAAGCCUAAGGAGGAAGAUGGUCCAUAUCUCUUGUGGGGAGAUGAUUCUGGUUCAAUGGAAAAAGCAAAUCAUUUAGCUUACGUUCCUGCACCAAAGCAGAAAUUACCUGGCCAUGAAGAGUCCUAUAAUCCUCCUUUAGAAUACAUUCCUACCCAAGAAGAGAUCAAUUCUUAUCAAUUGAUGUAUGAGGAAGACCGGCCCAAGUUUAUUCCAAAAAGGUUUACAUCUUUGAGGAGCAUCCCUGCCUAUGAGAAUGCUAUGAAGGAAUCCUUUGAACGUUGUUUGGACUUGUACUUGUGCCCUCGAGUUCGGAAAAAACGCCUUAAUAUUGAUCCUGAAUCCUUAAAGCCAAAGCUUCCAAAUCGGAAGGAGCUUAAACCUUAUCCCAUAACAUGCUAUAUCGAGUAUAAAGGCCAUGAAGAUGCAGUUACAUCAAUUUCGCUUGAAGCUUCAGGGCAGUGGAUGGCUUCAGGUUCAAGUGAUGGAACUGUCCGUAUCUGGGAGGUUGAAACUGGCAGAUGUCUUAGGCGGUGGGAGGUUGGUGAACCUGUUAACUGUGUUGCUUGGAACCCUUUGCCUGAUAUUCAUAUUCUGGCUGUUUCUGUGGGACAAGAUGUGCUUAUACUAAAUACUUGUUUGGGGGAUGGAGAAGAGCAGAAAAGGAUUGAGGAGCUUCUCUGGAUUGACUCAUCAACAGCAUCAGAUGACUCUGGCAACAAAGCACCUAGUGUAAGCUGGCUUAAAGAUGAUAAACAUGGGGGUUUACGGUUAAGACAUUUUAAGACUGUUACUGCUGUAGAAUGGCAUCGGAAAGGUGACUACUUUUCAACAGUGAUGCCAGCAGGUGAAUCAAGAGCAGUUCUGAUACACCAGUUAUCCAAGAAGCUUACUCAAAAACUUCCAUUCAAGUUACAUGGACUUGCGGUUAGAUCUACCUUCCAUCCAUCCCGUUCCAUCUUCUUUAUUUGUACAAAAAAGAGUGUUCGUGUGUAUGAUUUAUUGAAGACUAAGCUCAUAAAAAAGCUUGAUACUGGGCUUCGUGAAGCCUCAUCCAUUACAGUUCAUCCUGGAGGUGAUAAUUUAAUUGUGGGGAGCAAAGAAGGAAAGAUGUGUUGGUUUGACAUGGACCUUUCAUCUAAACCAUAUAAAAUUCUUAAGUGUCACCCAAAAGAUAUCAACAAUGUGGUCUUUCAUCGUUCAUAUCCCUUGUUUGCUUCUUGUUCAGAUGACUGCACUGCAUAUGUUUUUCAUGGAAUGGUUUAUUCUGAUCUCAAUCAAAAUCCUCUUAUUGUUCCUUUGGAAAUUCUACGAGGCCAUACAAGUUCAAAUGGGAGAGGUGAGACCUGUUUAUGAUGCGUCUUUUGGUGUUAAUAGAAGUUGAGAUCCAAUUUUGUGGAAAGUAUAGUUCAGGCCGACUUGAAAAAAGUUAAUCAAGCAUUUUAGCUAUAAAAUUGGUUUAGGAUAAAAGUAGCAUCAAAAGUGCCAAGAUUGGAUUUCUUUAUACUGGCUUAGCCUUGUCUAACAAGGAAAAAGAUCGAGCCAAGCAUUCAACUACAAAGGUGAAAAGGACCAUAAGACCCAAAAUAUAGUAUUCAUUUAUAAUGGCAUAGCCUUGUCAACAGAGUAAUGGGAUAGAUGCGAUGCUACUUGCUGCUUUGGUGCACAUUUAUUUGUGUCCUUAUAGAUUGGUUUGUAGAUUAUUGAUUCAUUAGCAGAGCCAAAGUAAAGAAACAAGAGAAAAAUUUUGUAAUUCGUUGGACGAGAGUAGUCAAUAGCGUCAUAGCGGCACCUAUCACGGAGGUGUGGAGCAGAUUGGCACCUGAUUGGCUGGUGCCGCUAUUCCUGUCGGGUUUCAUUGUAGCAGCGGUUGUUCCGCAAAUUGUGACAGAAAGCUAAGCAAAUUGCAGCCCUAGCGGCUGCUAUUUCAUCCUAGGGCAAAACGGCAAGUUUGCCCUCCUUUUCUAAAGGGAUAUUGGACUGUAAAUUUCACCCCAGACAGCCCUGGUUAUUUACAGCUGGUGCUGAUAAACUGAUUAAACUUUACUGUCAUUAAGAUAAACACCGAUAUUCUUACACAUGCAUGUGAUAGGCAGAUAACAUCUAUGAGGGAAAGCCUGUAACAUCAUCUGCAAUUUUGUUCCUCUAUUGUUAAAUUGAAAGCACUGCUAGCCCAAAUGAAGGGCACCUGACGAGCGAGUUUCUGGCGCUGAUUUUCCAGAUUAUUUCUCAUGUUUUCCACACUUCACUUGUCUUUCCAAAAUUUUGAGCGUGAAAUAUCAUUCCUGGAAUUCAUAUCUGCGUAUCUUAGCCUGCAAUUGAAAUAGAACUGUAAUUUUGAUGUAUUUUAUACAUAGCUAUUAGUGGGCAAUUAUUUUAAGACAUCUAAUGAAUGCCUAUUUUGGGGGAGAUUGGAUGUGGUGUUGCGUAUGGUUAUUUUAUAGUUGAUUUCCUUUAAUGCAGUUUGCAGUUUCUACGUUG